rnacentral:rRNA from 1 species
CUGAGUACGGCGGAACACGUGAAAUUCCGUCGGAAUCCGGGAGGACCAUCUCCCAAGGCUAAAUACUCCCUAGUGACCGAUAGUGAACCAGUACCGUGAGGGAAAGGUGAAAAGCACCCCGGAAGGGGAGUGAAACAGUUCCUGAAACCGUGUGCCUACAAGUAGUUAGAGCCCGUUAAUGGGUGAUAGCGUGCCUUUUGUAGAAUGAACCGGCGAGUUACGAUUUGUUGCAAGGUUAAGCGGAAAAAGCGGAGCCGUAGCGAAAGCGAGUCUGAAUAGGGCGCAUAAGUAACAGGUCGUAGACCCGAAACCAGGUGAUCUACCCAUGUCCAGGAUGAAGGUAAGGUAAUACUUACUGGAGGUCCGAACCCACGCACGUUGAAAAGUGCGGGGAUGAGGUGUGGGUAGCGGAGAAAUUCCAAUCGAACUUGGAGAUAGCUGGUUCUCUCCGAAAUAGCUUUAGGGCUAGCCUCGAGGUAAAGAGUCAUGGAGGUAGAGCACUGUUUGGACUAGGGGCCCUUCUCGGGUUACCGAAUUCAGAUAAACUCCGAAUGCCAUGUACUUAUACUCGGGAGUCAGACUGCGAGUGAUAAGAUCCGUAGUCGAAAGGGAAACAGCCCAGACCACCAGUUAAGGUCCCCAAAUAUAUGUUAAGUGGAAAAGGAUGUGGGGUUGCUUAGACAACCAGGAUGUUGGCUUAGAAGCAGCCACCAUUGAAAGAGUGCGUAAUAGCUCACUGGUCGAGUGACCCCGCGCCGAAAAUGUACCGGGGCUAAACAUAUUACCGAAACUGUGGAUGAACCUCUUUAGAGGUUCGUGGUAGGAGAGCGUUCUAAGGGCGGUGAAGUCAGACCGGAAGGACUGGUGGAGCGCUUAGAAGUGAGAAUGCCGGUAUGAGUAGCGAAAGAAGGGUGAGAAUCCCUUCCACCGAAUAUCUAAG